rnacentral:rRNA from 1 species
CAAUAGCGUAUAUUUAAGUUGCCGCAGUUAAAAAGCUCGUAGUUGGAUUUCGGGUGGGAAUGGCCGGUCCGCCGUUUCGGUGUGCACUUGCUACGCCCACCUUGCUGCCGGGGACGUGCUCUUGAGUUCACGCUCGGGACACGGAGUCGGCGAGGUUACUUUGAGUAAAUUAGAGUGUUCAAAGCAGGCCUACGCUCUGAAUACAUUAGCAUGGAAUAACACGAUAGGACUCUGGCCUAUCUUGUUGGUCUGUAGGACCGGAGUAAUGAUUAAGAGGGACAGUCGGGGGCAUUCGUAUUUCAUUGUCAGAGGUGAAAUUCUUGGAUUUAUGAAAGACGAACUACUGCGAAAGCAUUUGCCAAGGAUGUUUUCAUUAA